AGAUGAUCUCUGUGAUACGGGAGGUGUUCAUCAGUAACUUAGACCACCUAAGAUGAUGGAUGUAGAGACCAAGAAGGCUGCUGAGGAGAAGGCACAAGCUAUCCGCGAGCGGAUUGGCUACUCCGACAACAUCAAGAAUGACACUUACCUGAACAACGAGUAUAAAAAUUUGAGCUACAGUGCAGAGGAGUACUUUGAGAAUAUCCUUCAGAACCUGGAGUACGUCAGAGGAAACGUCUGAGGAAGCUACGGGUCAAAGUUAACAAAGAAGAAUGGGUAACAGGAGCAGCCGUUGUCAACGCCUUCUACUCCUCAAGCAAAAACCAAAUAGUGUUCCCAGCUGGCAUCCUACAGCCUCCGUUCUUCGGUAAGGGCCAGACCAAGUCUCUGAACUUUGGCGGUAUCGGCAUGGUGAUCGGACUGAGAUCACACACGGGUUCGAUGACAACGGUCGUAACUAUGAUAAAGAUGGUGACCUGAAGGAUUGGUGGACGCCAGCUCCACCCAGAAUUUGUGAAUCUGUCCAAGUGCAUGGUGGACCAGUAUGGAAGCUUCUCCUGGGACCUGGCCAACGGACUGAAUCUCAAUGGGAAUAACAUCUGGGAGAGAACAUCGCAGACAAUGGAGGCAUCCGCCAGUCAUACCA